GUAGGUGAACCUGCGGAAGGAUCAUUACAGUGUUCCCUGCCCUUCGGGGUAGGAUCGCCACCCUUGAUUAUUUAUGAGUGUUGCUUUGGCGGGCCUCGCGGCCUGGCCGCGCCCCGGCUUCGGCGGGGGAGCGCCCGCCAGAGGAUUCUACAAACCUGAUUAUUAGUGUCGUCUGAGUACUAUAUAAUAGUUAAAACUUUCAACAACGGAUCUCUUGGUUCUG
rnacentral:misc_RNA from 1 species